AGAUGUGAGGGCGAUCUGGCUGCGACAUCUGUCACCCCAUUGAUCGCCAGGGUUGAUUCGGCUGAUCUGGCUGUCUAGGUGGGUGUCCCCUUCCUCCCUCACUGCUCCAUGUGCGUCCCUCCCGAAGCUGCGCGCUCAGUCGAAGAGGAUGACCAUCCCUGAUAGAGGAGGACCGGUCUUCGGUCAAGGGUAUACAAGUAGCUGCGCUCCGCUGCUAGAACCUCCAAACAAGCUCUCAAGAAUUGCUCUGAAAGAGUGAGAAACAAAUACUCUUGACCUCCAUUGGUGAGGCAGUUGCUUUGAGAACUUAGAAAUAUCAUAGCCUUUCAU
rfam:Nomascus leucogenys chromosome X, whole genome shotgun sequence.